CCUACGGGCGGCUGCAGUGGGGAAUAUUGCACAAUGGGCGCAAGCCUGAUGCAGCCAUGCCGCGUGUGUGAAGAAGGCCUUCGGGUUGUAAAGCACUUUCAGCGGGGAGGAAGGCGGUGAGGUUAAUAACCUCAUCGAUUGACGUUACCCGCAGAAGAAGCACUGGCUAACUCCGUGCCAGCAGCCGCGGUAAUACGGAGGGUGCAAGCGUUAAUCGGAAUUACUGGGCGUAAAGCGCACGCAGGCGGUCUGUCAAGUCGAAUGUGAAAUCCCCGGGCUCAACCUGGGAACUGCAUUCGAAACUGGCAGGCUAGAGUCUUGUAGAGGGGGGUAGAAUUCCAGGUGUAGCGGUGAAAUGCGUAGAGAUCUGGAGGAAUACCGGUGGCGAAGGCGGCCCCCUGGACAAAGACUGACGCUCAGGUGCGAAAGCGUGGGGAGCAAACAGGAUUAGAUACCCGAGUAGUC
rnacentral:rRNA from 1 species